UUAAUAAAUGAGACCUUAUUGUAAAGUGUUACCAUUUUUAUUCAUACUGUUUUUAUUUCUAUGAUCAAUUUUGGGAAAGGAGAUCAGUUUUUACCUUAUUUGGAAGGGUCAUGAAUAGUAGCAUGGUGCUCUGCUCUGAUUGGCUGUUUCACUGUGCGGCUCCUUUCAGUAGCUCACAGUGAUAGCGAACUGUACGGCGUGAAUGAUGGAGAGAUUAGGUUAUUCAACCUUAUAUGUUUGAGCCUGUUUCUGAAGAAGAUGCAGAUGUAGAGGAACAACCAAUUUUUUUGCGAUUGGCCAUGGACGUUUCUGAGUGGUAAGUUAGUCUUUAUUUUCACUAUGAACCUGCAAAACGUAACUGUUAUGUCAAUACUAGAACUAGCAUAUAGCAUUAACUUUACACGAUAACUCAUAACGUCAGUAGUCACAACUUUGUUUUUAGCAUUGUAAAAACUUUAAUUGUUAUAAUGUAUCACUGUAUGGUUUUACAAUGAUAGCUUCUUCACUUUGCAUUAACAACUCUAAACAGCAAACUGGGUAGCGCGAAUUUGUUUGUUUUUAAUAAAUUGAAUUUAUUUGUUUCUAAUAAAUUGACAAUAGCGAUAUGAUUUGAAAUUUGAUUUAUUUAGCCAACCAAAGUAAAGCAUAGAUGCCAUUCAGUAUAAUCAGUGUCAUGUUUACUACUCAGCUGCUGUAGUGUGAUUAUGAUUUAGCUAUUAGUAACAAAAACUUACAUCGUUGUCUAUAAAUAUCCUUUUUUCCACAGGUGUACUUGUGGAAAUUGUGCACGUAUGGCCCUCGAGAGAGAGAAUAUAUGUUGCAGGGAAAUACCACAGGUCACAAGAAGAAUGGGCCAAGUUCCGAAUCAUGCAUGACAGACCAUCCCAGCCUUGAACCUGUAUGUCUCAAUAUAUAUAUUCUUUGCAAAAUGCAAUGAAUGUUUAUAGAGCUGACCAUGGGCCAAUUAGACUCAGAGGGAUGGAAGGGCAGUGCAGACACUUGGCCUACAGGUGGUUUGUUAGCUGGUGCUGGGGUUUCCUCGGACGAAGCAUUGGUGUUGCCAUCCCUUCAUGUGUGGUGCUGCGCAUUAGAAGGGAGUUUCCUGAUGUUGCAGGCC